rnacentral:rRNA from 1 species
UUGACCUCGGAUCAGGUAGGGAUACCCGCUGAACUUAAGCAUAUCAAUAAGCGGAGGAAAAGAAACCAACCGGGAUUGCCUCAGUAACGGCGAGUGAAGCGGCAAGAGCUCAAAUUUGAAAGCUGGCUCCUUCGGAGUCCGCAUUGUAAUUUGCAGAGGAUGCUUUGGGUGCGGCCCCCGUCUAAGUGCCCUGGAACGGGCCGUCAGAGAGGGUGAGAAUCCCGUCUUGGGCGGGGUGUCCGUGCCCGUGUAAAGCUCCUUCGACGAGUCGAGUUGUUUGGGAAUGCAGCUCUAAAUGGGUGGUAAAUUUCAUCUAAAGCUAAAUACUGGCCGGAGACCGAUAGCGCACAAGUAGAGUGAUCGAAAGAUGAAAAGCACUUUGAAAAGAGAGUUAAACAGCACGUGAAAUUGUUGAAAGGGAAGCGCUUGCGACCAGACUCGCCCGCGGGGUUCAGCCGGCAUUCGUGCCGGUGUACUUCCCCGUGGGCGGGCCAGCGUCGGUUUGGGCGGCCGGUCAAAGGCCCCUGGAAUGUAGUGCCCUCCGGGGCACCUUAUAGCCAGGGGUGCAAUGCGGCCAGCCUGGACCGAGGAACGCGCUUCGGCACGGACGCUGGCAUAAUGGUCGUAAA